GGGUUUUUCGCUCAGCGGCGGAGCGCACGCCUUAUGAGCGUGUGAUCGAGGCUCGAUUCCCGGCAAAACCGCCA
rnacentral:tRNA from 1 species